GAAUAGUCUUAGAGAACGCUUGAAGCAGAAGCGCCUUCUGUUGCUCGACACUGAUGUUGCCGGAUAUGCGAGGGCGCAGGGGAAGUCUCAGGUAAGCUUUGGGGCCACCGAUCUGGUGUGCUGCAGGACGCUUCAGGGACAUACUGGCAAGGUGUAUUCAUUGGAUUGGACUCCUGAAAAGAAUCGAAUUGUCAGUGCAUCUCAAGAUGGGCGGUUGAUAGUGUGGAAUGCCCUAACAAGCCAGAAAACUCAUGCCAUAAAGUUGCCUUGUGC
rnacentral:misc_RNA from 1 species